rnacentral:rRNA from 1 species
AUUUGGGCCGGCCUUUUUAUCUCUUCGUUGUUUCUCUCCUUCCUCGCGUUUUCCUCAGACUCCACAGGGGAAGAGAACCCAGCGACUGUUUCUACUCCCCUUCCUCGUUCGUGUGGCAGAUCUCGCGUUCAUCUGCUUCUUCCUACCGGGAUCCUACUCCGGCAAGAGCACCAUCGCCCUCGUAAGCAGAUGGUGUGGCGUGUUUUUCCCCAGGAUAGCACUUCAAUUUUGGUCCAGAUUCGGCUCAGAUCCAGUAGACCGUUGUUGUUCUACAGGAAAAAGAUGGUGUGGCGUGUUAUUCCACAAACAAUCAAAUUGUAUCACUCAACAGCAAAUCAACAAGAUAACAUCAAACCUGGUUUAUUUCCUUUUUCCUAUUUUCCAUUGUUCGUGUUUUUCUUCUAUGGAUUUUGUGUCGUAGGAGGCUAUCACCUAUUAAAAGAUUGUCCAGGUAAUGAACUGUCUAGUUAGUCUGUACUUCCCUUGAGAACUACCCAUUGCAGGGAAGCACCUGAGUUAACCAAUCAUGCAUAUUCUUCUUGAAAAUGUUUUUCUAAUAUCUUUAGUUGGCAUUUUCAAAUGACCUAUCUUACUUUUUUAUUUGACAUGUACAACCAUAGGUCUGCUCUGUAUUGAUUCCUUUACAUGGAUUUAUGGGAUGGAAAAAUCAUGAAGGACUAUGAUGCUGUGAAUUUUCCUGAUUUACUGUAAAAAAUGAUAUUUCUUUUCAAGUUUUUCUUUUUAUAUUGUACUAUUGUUAGUAAUGCUCUUGACCCCCACACAUUCUCUUUCCCGGAGACAACCACUCUAUAUAUCGCUCUUGAGAGCUCUGUUUCUCUGCUAUGGAUGUACUAGCCGCUACUAUAACCUGUUUGUUCAGUUAAUUUAACUUGAAGCACCUCAUGUAUGUUUGGCAGCUUAACAUCCACUUCUCUAGUCUGCAAGUUUUGCGAGGUUAAUUAAAUAAUAUCCAGUUGCUUCCCUGAAAAAAAAUACUAGCUUGUUGUUUGUUGAUCUUCAGUAACUAGUUUGUGUAUUUUUUUCUUUUCUACUAUUUUAGGGAAUCAUUCCUCAAAUUUGGCAGAUUGGUGCUGACAAAAUGGCAAAAUUCGACCUGAACAACAUGGACUUUGUGGCACUGGAUGAUGCUUCAACCAGGAAGAGAAAGAGCGCCUUUAGAUGUUUCUAGAAAGGAAAGGAGUAGUCACAAAUAUUUGCUACAUUGAUGUGUAUAUCCAUUUUAGCUGAUCAACAUAUACCUCAGAAAGCAUGUUGUUGUUGACUUCCUAUGACAAACAAAAGUGUUCCCAGUGUGCAAGUGUUCUAAACGAAUGUGUUUUUGUUUUUCUUGCUAUUUUCCUAUGUACCUCACACAACAAUAUCGCGCCAGAAAUAGGGAUUCUGUUCUAGACUUUCUUUUUUUCGCUCUAUUUGGGUACAAUGUUUGAUAACUAUCUAUCUGAACAUGAAUUGACAGUUUAUAUAGCACC